rnacentral:rRNA from 1 species
UCCUUCGGGGAGGCAGCAGUAGGGAAUCUUCGGCAAUGGGCGAAAGUCUGACCGAGCACCGCCGCGUGAGUGAAGAAGGUUUUCGGGUCGUAAAACUCUGUUGUUAGAGAAGAACAAGUGGGAGAGUAACUGUUCCCUCCUUGACGGUAUCUAGCCAGAAAGCCACGGCUAACUACGUGCCAGCAGCCGCGGUAAUACGUAGGUGGCAAGCGUUGUCCGGAUUUAUUGGGCGUAAAGCGAGCGCAGGCGGUUUCUUAAGUCUGAUGUGAAAGCCCUCGGCUCAACCGAGGAAGGUCAUUGGAAACUGGGGAACUUGAAUGCAGAAGAGGAGAGUGGAAUUCCAUGUGUAGCGGUGAAAUGCGUAGAUAUAUGGAGGAACUCCAGUGGCGAAGGCGGCUCUCUGGUCUGUAAUUGACGCUGAGGCUCGAAAGCGUGGGGAGCAAACAGGAUUAGAUACCCUGGUAGUUCACGCCGUAAACGAUGAGUGCUAAGUGUUGGAGGGUUUCCGCCCUUCAGUGCCGCAGUUAACGCAUUAAGCACUCCCGCCUG